GUAGUCUGUGUCUCUUUGUAGGUCUCUAAGAACUUGCUUUAUGAAUCUGGGUGCUCCUGUAUUAGGUGUAUAGUUAUUUAAGAUAGCUAGCUCAUGGUACUGGUACCAAAACAGAGAUAUAGACCA